rnacentral:rRNA from 1 species
CAGCCGCCGCGGUAAUACGUAGGGUCCGAGCGUUGUCCGGAAUUACUGGGCGUAAAGAGCUCGUAGGUGGUUUGUCGCGUUGUUCGUGAAAACUCACAACUCAAUUGUGGGCGUGCGGGCGAUACGGGCAGACUGGAGUACUGCAGGGGAGACUGGAAUUCCUGGUGUAGCGGUGGAAUGCGCAGAUAUCAGGAGGAACACCGGUGGCGAAGGCGGGUCUCUGGGCAGUAACUGACGCUGAGGAGCGAAAGCGUGGGGAGCGAACAGGAUUAGAUACCCCAGUAGUCCCUGUCUCUUAUAC